AUGCAAGUCGAGCGGACAGAUGGGAGCUUGCUCCCUGAUGUUAGCGGCGGACGGGUGAGUAACACGUGGGUAACCUGCCUGUAAGACUGGGAUAACUCCGGGAAACCGGGGCUAAUACCGGAUGCUUGUUUGAACCGCAUGGUUCAAACAUAAAAGGUGGCUUCGGCUACCACUUACAGAUGGACCCGCGGCGCAUUAGCUAGUUGGUGAGGUAACGGCUCACCAAGGCAACGAUGCGUAGCCGACCUGAGAGGGUGAUCGGCCACACUGGGACUGAGACACGGCCCAGACUCCUACGGGAGGCAGCAGUAGGGAAUCUUCCGCAAUGGACGAAAGUCUGACGGAGCAACGCCGCGUGAGUGAUGAAGGUUUUCGGAUCGUAAAGCUCUGUUGUUAGGGAAGAACAAGUACCGUUCGAAUAGGGCGGUACCUUGACGGUACCUAACCAGAAAGCCACGGCUAACUACGUGCCAGCAGCCGCGGUAAUACGUAGGUGGCAAGCGUUGUCCGGAAUUAUUGGGCGUAAAGGGCUCGCAGGCGGUUCCUUAAGUCUGAUGUGAAAGCCCCCGGCUCAACCGGGGAGGGUCAUUGGAAACUGGGGAACUUGAGUGCAGAAGAGGAGAGUGGAAUUCCACGUGUAGCGGUGAAAUGCGUAGAGAUGUGGAGGAACACCAGUGGCGAAGGCGACUCUCUGGUCUGUAACUGACGCUGAGGAGCGAAAGCGUGGGGAGCGAACAGGAUUAGAUACCCUGGUAGUCCACGCCGUAAACGAUGAGUGCUAAGUGUUAGGGGGGUUUCCGCCCCUUAGUGCUGCAGCUAACGCAUUAAGCACUCCGCCUGGGGGAGUACGGUCGCAGACUGAAACUCAAAGGAAAUGCACGCGAAAAAAA
rnacentral:rRNA from 1 species